rnacentral:rRNA from 1 species
AGAGACAGCAGCAGCCGCGGGAAUACGAAGGGGGCUAGCGUUGUUCGGAAUUACUGGGCGUAAAGCGCACGUAGGCGGAUAUUUAAGUCAGGGGUGAAAUCCCGCAGCUCAACUGCGGAACUGCCUUUGAUACUGGGUAUCUUGAGUAUGGAAGAGGUUAGUGGAAUUGCGAGUGUAGAGGUGAAAUUCGUAGAUAUUCGCAGGAACACCAGUGGCGAAGGCGGCUAACUGGUCCAUAACUGACGCUGAGGUGCGAAAGCGUGGGGAGCAAACAGGAUUAGAUACCCCAGUAGUCCCUGUCUCUUAUAC